rnacentral:rRNA from 1 species
UACGGAGGGUGCAAGCGUUAUCCGGAUUCACUGGGUUUAAAGGGUGCGUAGGCGGGCAGGUAAGUCAGUGGUGAAAUCCUUGAGCUUAACUCGAGAACUGCCAUUGAUACUAUCUGUCUUGAAUAUUGUGGAGGUAAGCGGAAUAUGUCAUGUAGCGGUGAAAUGCUUAGAUAUGACAUAGAACACCUAUUGCGAAGGCAGCUUACUACGCAUAUAUUGACGCUGAGGCACGAAAAGCGUGGGGGAGUCAAACAGG